UGGAGGCUAGCCCUGGCAUUUAAGGGGAGGCUGACUUGAGAGCAGGAAGCUUCCCGGCCCUGCCUCUGCCUCUGCUCUCAUCGCUUUGUGGAAGGGACGUAGGUGGCAAAAGGAGGAGCAGAAAUGUGGAAUCCCAAUCCAGGAAUGCCACCCCCAAAUGCCCAGGUCUGUCCACCUCCGGGGCCAGGUGUGCACCCUUCUCCUGGCCCCCCACCUCCUGGCCACCACCCUCAUGGCCCUCCCCCACCUGGCCCAGGAAUAAUGCCAGGAGGACCCGGCUGCCCGCCCCCACCACCUGGUGUCCAUCUUCCUCCUCCUCCUCCUCCAUGGGGUCUUCACAAGCACCAUCACAAACAUGGUCCUGGACACCACUGCCAUAAGGGAUUACAUAUUUCAUGGCAUUGAGGUCAUUUAUUCAGCAAACAGCACGUGACUGGUGUGCUCAGCUGAGUUCCAGUACCUCUCUACCUUCGUCAGAUGCAUUCAGAUAAGAAGAACUGGGUUUGAAUUCUGCCUCUGGCACCUGGAAAAGUCACUUCACCCAUGUCUGCCUCACUUUCCUGAUCUGUCAAAUGAGGAUGACAAAAGCCCUUACUUCAUAGCAUUGCUGUGAGGAGGAAAUGAGCUAAUAAAUAAGAAGUACUAUGUGAA